AUGGCGAUGAAUAGUACUAAAGCCGCAGGAGCGACGAGGGAGCAAUCGAUGGAAUUCUCUCCUGCCUGCCUUGUGUUCACCGCCAUGAACAAUGCGUUGGUGAUCUUCUGGUUGGGGGUCAGCCCUGCAAACACUGCCGAAUUCCAGUUCAAGCAGCACAAGAGUGUGAUGGCAACGGCUAUGAGAGCAGCGACCGAGGCUGUGAGGAAUACUGUCUGCUGGGUAGGCAGCAAGUGGUUGAAACCCACACCCUUUGUGUUGUUCAUCAUGAACUCAAACUCUUCAGGUUUAGCUCUGGUUAUUCUUAGUCCUCUCAGUGCCCAUAUCACCAGCCUCAGAAAGACAGGAAGCAAGGUGUUGCCUGCAAGAAUCUGGCCAGUGAGUAGCAGGAGGAGGCCCUGGUUUGAGGAAAACACCGCCAUGCUCUCGUUCGUUGGAAUCAGCCCUCCAUUGGUGAAAGAAGAGACAGUGACUGAUAUGGAGAAAAGCAUGGUAUUGAUACUUUUCCUUGUUAGCACAUCUCUUGCAGUUGAAACAUGUGCUACGUACAAGAACACCAAUAGAGAACCUACAAGAAGAAUCGAGACCAUGUAUGCCAACAGCACAAACCCUAUGUAUCUGAGGCAACUCUUCUUGAGGCUAAUGGUAUUAAUUGAUGGUGUUGCCGGGAUUGCCUCUUCUAUCUGCGACUCAUCUUGCACGAUGUCGAAAGGAAAAAUAUGUCGACAUAGCGAGGACUAUAGUUAG
rnacentral:rRNA from 1 species